rnacentral:rRNA from 1 species
UACAGAGGCCUCGAGCGUUGUUCGGAAUUACUGGGCGUAAAGCGAAUGUAGGUGGUGACGUAAGUCAGAUGUGAAAGCCCGGGGCUUAACCCCGGAAAUGCAUUUGAUACUGUGUCGCUAGAGUGUGAGAGAGGAAAGGGGAAUUCCCAGUGUAGGAGUGAAAUCCGUAGAUAUUGGGAGGAAUACCGAUGGCGAAGGCACCUUUCUGGCUCAUUACUGACACUGAGAUUCAAAAGCGUGGGGAGCAAACAGG